UUUUUUCAUUUUCUGAGACCGGAAGUGGUCAUCAGCAAGUGUGGAGCCAAACGACAACAAGAUUCUCAGAGGGCGGAGCCAGAGAGCAGUGAUUGGCCAGACCAUAGAUAAUAUAGAAGACAGCGCGCUAGCGUAUCUAGUCUUCUAUAUAUCUAUAGUCGGCACGUCUGGUAGCAUCUCUGGCUGCUGUUGAUCUUGUUUUUGGACUAAAACACGGUGGAAGCUGAAUUAGUGAGGAUGACUCCUGCUCCUGUCAUCUCAAAGCUCCUCACACAUCUUUACCUGCACAUGAGGAAAAUCACUCCUGUAGAAUGCAGUGGUUCAUCAGAACCUCUGAGGAUGUCCUGUGGAUCCUGUGGAUCCUGUGGGUUGCAGGGUGGAUCCUACCUAGACCAGGCUGAUCCUGGACCAUCCCACAGAUGCUCCAUCAGAUGUGGAUGUGGGGAGUGUGGAACCCAGAUGUUCAGAGGGAGAUGAUGCCACAUCUGGUCCAGCUGAUGGAAGGUCUUGAAGUUCUCUGACUGGCCUCGACUGAAGAUGGUCGUCUCACUGGAUUUAAGGUUCAGAUGCUCAGUAACAAACUCCACCAAUGUGCCAACAGGGAAGCUUUAGGUUUAUUAAAUGUUGCUAUGAAGGUUUCGCUGUUUUUCUUUGUGAAUGCAAUGUGCUCCAACUGAAACUUGAAUUAGAACUUAGAAGUAAAUCCUUCCAUCUGAAAGGAUUUAGUUGCAUUAAUAACCUCAUAACAUUCUAAUUUUUAUUCCAGUCUUGGUUGGAAAUAGAAUCUCUGUAUUGAUUCAGGUAAAAACUGAACUUCACAGCAUGUUGGAGCAAAACAACCAGAUGAAAACUGUGAUGGUGUUGGAUUGUCAGACCGUAAUGUUGCAGCUCAAAGCAGCUUUUCUGUCUCGGUUCAUUCUGACAUUCAGCUAUGAAUCAACACAGCAGAUGGUGAUCCAUGCUGUGGAAGUCUCACAUCUCCUGAUUUAAUGGAGCUGCUUUGCACUUUUUACACAGUUUAUUCACCAACACUUUAUUUAAUAAAAGUCCCAUCUAGUUUUUAUGAGGAAUGUGAGGUUUUGAUUUCUCUGUGAAUAACUGCAGUCUAAUGUAACAGCUGGAGUUGUAACAUCUGUCCUGAUAUUGAUCAUGAACCUUCUAACCCUCUGCUGCCUAUUAUCUGAAAACAGGAAUGUUCUGCUCUCAUUACUGAGCACACAGCCUAGUAAGAGGAGCACUUUUCAGAAAUGACUCAUGGGUAUUUAUUUUUUAAACGAAGACAAGAUGAUUGAUUGGUAGCUACAGACACUUGUUUGUAUUUUGUUCCCUUUAGAUAUGAAAGUAGAGUUCAGUUUGUUUCCUGAAGGCCUGUUUUAACAUUCCCUGGAAAUGGACCAAGUGAUGCAACCAAUGUCUGAGUGUGUCGGGGAAGAAGAGGGUCUGAAUUGGAGGUAGGGGGGCUGCAGUUAUUCCCUGAAGGUGUUUCUGUCGCAGCUCUGUGCUGCAGACUGUUCAGUCUAGAGCUGGCUCUCCAUUCACACUG